rnacentral:rRNA from 1 species
AUUGAACGCUGGCGGCAGGCCUAACACAUGCAAGUCGAGCGGAUGAAGGGAGCUUGCUCCUGGAUUCAGCGGCGGACGGGUGAGUAAUGCCUAGGAAUCUGCCUGGUAGUGGGGGAUAACGUCCGGAAACGGGCGCUAAUACCGCAUACGUCCUGAGGGAGAAAGUGGGGGAUCUUCGGACCUCACGCUAUCAGAUGAGCCUAGGUCGGAUUAGCUAGUUGGUGGGGUAAAGGCCUACCAAGGCGACGAUCCGUAACUGGUCUGAGAGGAUGAUCAGUCACACUGGAACUGAGGCACGGUCCAGACUCCUACGGGAGGCAGCAGUGGGGAAUAUUGGACAAUGGGCGAAAGCCUGAUCCAGCCAUGCCGCGUGUGUGAAGAAGGUCUUCGGAUUGUAAAGCACUCUAAGUUGGGAGGAAGGGCAGUAAGUUAAUACCUUGCUGUUUUGACGUUACCAACAGAAUAAGCACCGGCUAACUUCGUG